AUACUCACCUGGCAGGGGAGAUACCAUGAUCAUGAGGGUGGUUUUCCUAGGGCGAGGCUCACCCAUUGCACUCCGGGUGUGCUGACCCCUGCGAUUUCCCCAAAUUCGGGAAACUCGACUGAUAAUUUGUGGUAGUGGGGGACUGUGUUUGCACUCUCCCCUG
rnacentral:snRNA from 1 species